CCUGGUCCUCAGUGCCCCCUGGAUUCUCCCAGGUGAGAACUGGCCCCAGAGAUUGAGGACAGGAUCAGAGAGAGCCUGGAACAUGUAUUUCGUGCCUCCUCCGUGCUAGGCUGGGGCGAUCCUCAACGCCCACAGUUCCUGCCAGGCCCCUCCCCGGUCUGAAGUUCAACCCGGCUUCCAGGUGCAGCUGAGUUUGGGGAAAUGUUGCUGUUUUUAGCACCGGUGCCAGUAGGAGAUGCGGGUGACUUGCUUCUCCGGAACUGGCUCUGUCUUUGGGGAACUUGUUUGCAGGACACAAGCAGAGGGCAGCGGGCCAGUCAGAGGGCGACCUGCAACCCCAUGGACUCCCCAGGGAGCUACUGGAGGGUAAAGGUUCCAGUCUGAGUCCCCGAACCUCCCAACACCAACAAGACCCCAUUUGGGAGUGUUCUUCUGAAAAAGCUCCAGGUGCCCCAGCGCUGGCCACAAGCGUCUUUUGAUUUCCUGGCUGAAUCCAAACUCAGUACGGCGUCCGAUGCUUCCCUCGGUUCCCUUGGGAUCAGCGACCCGCCAGGUUCUGAGCCUUUUCCAGUCCCACCGUAAUGAAAAGUAUUUCCAGCUCAUCUGUCGUGACGAAGUAAACGCAGGUCCGAUCAUGUCUCACGUAGAAAUGUUCGGACAGACUCUGA